rnacentral:rRNA from 1 species
CCUACGGGUGGCUGCAGUGGGGAAUAUUGGACAAUGGGCGAAAGCCUGAUCCAGCCAUGCCGCGUGUGUGAAGAAGGCCUUCGGGUUGUAAAGCACUUUCAGUAGGGAAGAAAGCCUUGGGGCUAAUACCCUCGAGGAAGGACAUCACCCACAGAAGAAGCACCGGCUAACUCCGUGCCAGCAGCCGCGGUAAUACGGAGGGUGCGAGCGUUAAUCGGAAUUACUGGGCGUAAAGCGCGCGUAGGCGGUCUGAUAAGCCGGUUGUGAAAGCCCCGGGCUCAACCUGGGAACGGCAUCCGGAACUGUCAGGCUAGAGUGCAGGAGAGGAAGGUAGAAUUCCCGGUGUAGCGGUGAAAUGCGUAGAGAUCGGGAGGAAUACCAGUGGCGAAGGCGGCCUUCUGGACUGACACUGACGCUGAGGUGCGAAAGCGUGGGUAGCAAACAGGAUUAGAUACCCCAGUAGUC